GAGAAAACAACUGGGAUUGCCCUAGUAACGGCGAGUGAAGCGGCAAUAGCUCAAAUUUGAAAUCUGGGUCCUUUUAGGGCUCCGAGUUGUAAUUUGCAGAGGGUGCUUUGGCGUUGGUAGCGGUCUAAGUUCCCUGGAACAGGACAUCGCAGAGGGUGAGAAUCCCGUUUGUGGUCGCAUGCCUUCGCCGUGUAAAGCCCCUUCGACGAGUCGAGUUGUUUGGGAAUGCAGCUCUAAAUGGGAGGUAAAUUUCUUCUAAAGCUAAAUACUGGCCAGAGACCGAUAGCGCACAAGUAGAGUGAUCGAAAGAUGAAAAGCACUUUGGAAAGAGAGUCAAACAGCACGUGAAAUUGUUGAAAGGGAAGCGCUUGCAGCCAGACUUGCCCGUAGUUGCUCACCUAGGCUUUUGCCUGGGGCAUUCUUCUGCGGGCAGGCCAGCAUCAGUUUGGGCGGUCGGAUAAAGGUCUCUGUCAUGUAGCUUCCUUCGGGAAGAACUUAUAGGGGAGACGAAAUGCGACCAGCCUGGACUGAGGUCCGCGCUUCUGCUAGGAUGCUGGCGUAAUGGCUGUAAGCGGCCCGUCUUGAAACACGGACCAAGGAGUCUAACAUCUAUGCGAGUGUUUGGGUGUCAAGCCCGAGCGCGUAAUGAAAGUGAACGGAGGUGGGAACCCUUUGGGUGCACCAUCGACCGAUCCUGAUGUCUUCGGAUGGAUUUGAGUAAGAGCAUAGCUGUUGGGACCCGAAAGAUGGUGAACUAUGCCUGAAUAGGGUGAAGCCAGAGGAAACUCUGGUGGA
rnacentral:rRNA from 1 species